AGCGAACGUUUGCGGCGGGCCUAACACAUGCAAGUCGAACGCACUAGCAAUAGUGAGUGGCGCACGGGUGCGUAACACGUGGGUAAUCAACCCUUCAGCUUGGGAUAACGACUUGAAGGGGUCGCUAAUACCGGAUACGGCGAGAGAGGCUUCGGCAUUUCUCGAGAAAGCCUCGCAAGGGGCACUGAAGGACGAGCCUGUCGGCCCAGUCAGCUAGUUGGUGAGGUAAGAGCUCACCAAGGCGAAGACGGGUAGCUGGUCUGAGAGGAUGAUCAGCCACACUGGAACUGAGACACGGCCCAGAC
rnacentral:rRNA from 1 species